AUUGAACGCUGGCGGCAGGCCUAACACAUGCAAGUCGAACGAGUGGCGGACGGGUGAGUACUGUCUGGGAAACUGCCUGUUGGAGGGGGAUAACUACUGGAAACGGUAGCUAAUACCGCAUACAAUCAGAUUUGCCCAGAUGGGAUUGGCUAGUCGGUGGGGUAACGGCCAACCUAGGCGACGAUCCCUAGCUGGUCUGAGCGGUUGACCAGUCACACUGGAACUGAGACACGGUCCAGACUCCUACGGGAGGCAGCAGUGGGGAAGAUUGCACAAUGGGCGCAAGCCUGAUGCAGCCAUGCCGCGUGUAUGAAGAAGGCCUUCGGGUUGUAAAGUACUUUCAGCGGGGAGGCGUUACCCGCAGAAGAAGCACCGGCUAACUCCGUGCCAGCAGCCGCGGUAAUUC
rnacentral:rRNA from 1 species